UCGGCGGAUUUGAAAGUUUUGUUAAUCCAUUCUUUGACAUCAAAAGUAUCUUCGGAAAACGCGGACACAUCCUGAAAGCAUCGAUUUAAGACGGAUACUACUUAUGCGGAAAAGGUCUUUCACUUCCUGAAAGACGCACUACUCUUUCACCCCGUCGCGAUCAUCACCGCUGUUUCCUCGGAACUCACAAGUUCGCGUUUGGGGAUUCUGACUGGCUACCAAGAUGCGGCAAAUCGAAGAGGAAAAGGGAGAGAAAAUGGAGAACAGCAUGUUAUCGGCCGCUUCCGGGCCCUUUGUUGAUUGCCACGCCUCCGAGACUGCGUUUGCGCGUGACGAUUUGCGCAACAGUUGGAAGUUGGAAUUUUGCCUCGAAAUAGCCUUAGCCUCGACGAAAAUAAGGAGAGCUAGCUGAGCGGAACUGCAACACAACUGUACUUUGCCCUUUUCUUUGCGAGCGUUGAACGCAUCGUCCCGAUGAGCAAAGGCUACCUCUCAGGUUCAGCUAUACACCUCGCAUGUGUGUUCGUUUUUAUACGUUACCGCGGACCUAAUAUGUACGUCAUUAGAUUAUUCGAAGCAUUCGCGAUAUUCGAUUCGAUACCUUAUUUGCACUUGCCUCGAGAUUAUACGCGAAUGAAAUGUCAAUAACUUGCGGCUUUUUUUCCUUUUCUUUUCAUUUUCUUUCUUAUAUCGCAGAUUUGAAAUAAUAUCACGAAAUUUGACGCUCUCUCAACGUGUAACGAGGAAAUUAUUCUUUCGCAUAAAGUUGAACUUUAUUACGGACGACAAUCAGACUCAAUCAGUAGAGUAUAUUAGAACCGUAUGCAUUUAAUGUCGCAUAUAAAGUGCGUCGAUCAGAAGUCCAAUUUUGUAAUCUCGCUGUGCAUACGAAUGCGUGCCGCUGAUAAAUUGCCCUUCAAUUCGACUAGACUGGAACAAUUUCAAAAUCCUCCAUCUUGAUUUACCCUGUUACAUCAUCGAAAAUAAUGUUAUCGUUCUUUUAAUUAUACGCCAACGUUAAUCCUU